rnacentral:rRNA from 1 species
AUCUGGGCAUGUGCACGUCUCUGGUCAUUACCAAUUCCACCUGUGCACACACUUGUAGACACUUGGGAAUGAGAGACUUUGACCAGUCUCUUGAGAGAUUUCAUAUCUGGGUGUCUAUGCCUUUUUAUUACACACUAGUUGCAUGUUUAUAGAAUGAUGAUUUGAUUAAAUAUAAAAUACAACUUUCAACAACGGAUCUCUUGGCUCUCGCAUCGAUGAAGAACGCAGCGAAAUGCGAUAAGUAAUGUGAAUUGCAGAAUUCAGUGAAUCAUCGAAUCUUUGAACGCACCUUGCACUCCUUGGCAUUCCGAGGAGCAUGCCUGUUUGAGUGUCAUUAACAUCUCAAGACCUGUCUGUUUUUGAUAGGUAUUGGAUUUUUGGGGGUUUGCAGGCUGUUUCAGAUAGCUUGCUCUCCUUGAAUGUAUUAGUGGAGAAAGAGCCAUUGAACUCCAUUGGUGUGAUAAAAUCUAUCAAUGCCAGGAGCCAUGUUAGUUCUCUCUGCUGUCUAACCGCUAACAGUUGUCUGUAAAAAAAAUGGACAACUUGACCAACUUGACCUCAAAUCAGGUAGGACUACCCGCUGAACUUAAGCAUAUC